UAGGGAAUCUUCGGCAAUGGGGGCAACCCUGACCGAGCAACGCCGCGUGAGUGAAGAAGGUUUUCGGAUCGUAAAGCUCUGUUGUAAGAGAAGAACGUGUGUGAGGGUGGAAAGUUCACACAGUGACGGUAACUUACCAGAAAGGGACGGCUAACUACGUGCCAGCAGCCGCGGUAAUACGUAGGUCCCGAGCGUUGUCCGGAUUUAUUGGGCGUAAAGCGAGCGCAGGCGGUUUAAUAAGUCUGAAGUUAAAGGCAGUGGCUUAACCAUUGUUCGCUUUGGAAACUGUUAAACUUGAGUGCAGAAGGUGAGCGUGGAAUUCCAUGUGUAGCGGUGAAAUGCGUAGAUAUAUGGAGGAACACCGGUGGCGAAAGCGGCUCUCUGGUCUGUAACUGACGCUGAGGCUCGAAAGCGUGGGGAGCAAACAGG
rnacentral:rRNA from 1 species